ACAUACAUAAAUUGGCAUAUGAUAAAGAUAAUGUUCCAUUCAUCGCGUAUAUAAAACCCAUUUUGGCCUCCAAGUGGCCCUGUCACAAUGGGUAUCCCAUUGAAAAGAAGCAAUGCUUAUUUCCGGCGUUUUGCCGAUGACAGAUUAGUGCAAGCUAAGUUGUAGCUACUAGGCACGCUCGCAGCUUAGAUUAGAUGAACUCAUGUCAUGUCAGAUUAAUAAUGAAAUUGAAUUUUAAUAUUUUUGGGUGCCAUGUCUGCCAUUUGGCCAUUCCUCUUCAAACCAUGUCGAACUGCUGUAAACAUUCAAAGAUUACUUCACACCAAAUGUGCCAGCGCUUUCCCUUAACUGAUUAGUACUAUCGCCUUUCUUCAAUUCGAAUAUCUAAUCCAGCAGUGGCACUUGGGGCUGUUUUCAAAAAUAAAUGAAGGUCUUUGAGCUAUGGACUCCCUGCUUCUGGGCAUUCUUAAUCAAUUAGAGAGCCGACCCGACUAGGCGAUACCCUCUAAUAACUCAUUGUGUAUUAGAUGUGUGGGCAACAAAGAACUAAAAAAUGAGGAGAUGAGUGUCGUUGUGAUUCUCGAUCAGCUUAAAAGCUAACGCCAUAAAGCUUUUGCUAAAGCUUAGAUGGGUUACCAC